rnacentral:tRNA from 1 species
GGGUGAUUAGCUCAGUUGGCUAGAGCGCUACCCUUACAAGGUAGAAGUCGGCGGUUCGAGUCCGUCAUCACCCA